GCCCAGGUGGCGAAAUUGGUAGACGCACCAUCUUGAGGGGGUGGCGCCAACAGGCGUACGAGUUCGAAUCUCGUUCUGGGCA
rnacentral:tRNA from 1 species